rnacentral:rRNA from 1 species
GAGAACUUUCCAGAGAUGGAUUGGUGCCUUCGGGAACUCUGAGACAGGUGCUGCAUGGCUGUCGUCAGCUCGUGUUGUGAAAUGUUGGGUUAAGUCCCGCACAAGGCCGGCGAGCAUGUGGUUUAAUUCGAUGCAACGCGAAGAACCUUACCUACUCUUGACAUCCAGAGAACUUUCCAGAGAUGGAUUGGUGCCUUCGGGAACUCUGAGACAGGUGCUGCAUGGCUGUCGUCAGCUCGUGUUGUGAAAUGUUGGGUUAAGUCCCGCAACGAGCGCAACCCUUAUCCUUGUUUGCCAGCGAGUAAUGUCGGGAACUCCAGGGAGACUGCCGGUGAUAAACCGGAGGAAGGUGGGGACGACGUCAAGUCAUCAUGGCCCUUACGAGUAGGGCUACACACGUGCUACAAUGGCGCAUACAGAGGGCGGCCAACUUGCGAAAGUGAGCGAAUCCCAAAAAGUGCGUCGUAGUCCGGAUUGGAGUCUGCAACUC